rnacentral:rRNA from 1 species
GACGAACGCGGCGGCGUGCCUAAUACAUGCAAGUAGAACGCUGAAGGAGGAGCUUGCUUCUCUGGAUGAGUUGCGAACGGGUGAGUAACGCGUAGGUAACCUGCCUGGUAGCGGGGGAUAACUAUUGGAAACGAUAGCUGAUACCGCAUAAGAGUAGAUGUUGCAUGACAUUUGCUUAAAAGGUGCAAUUGCAUCACUACCAGAUGGACCUGCGUUGUAUUAGCUAGUUGGUGGGGUAACGGCUCACCAAGGCGACGAUACAUAGCCGACCUGAGAGGGUGAUCGGCCACACUGGGACUGAGACACGGCCCAGACUCCUACGGGAGGCAGCAGUAGGGAAUCUUCGGCAAUGGACGGAAGUCUGACCGAGCAACGCCGCGUGAGUGAAGAAGGUUUUCGGAUCGUAAAGCUCUGUUGUAAGAGAAGAACGAGUGUGAGAGUGGAAAGUCACACUGUGACGUAUCUACCAGAAAGACGCA